UACGAAGGGGGCUAGCGUUGCUCGGAAUCACUGGGCGUAAAGGGUGCGUAGGUGGCGUCGUAAGUCGGGUGUGAAAUCUCGGGGCUUAACUCCGAAACUGCAUUCGAUACUGCGGUGCUUUGAGGACUGGAGAGGAGACUGGAAUUUACGGUGUAGCAGUGAAAUGCGUAGAGAUCGUAAGGAAGACCAGUGGCGAAGGCGGGUCUCUGGACAGUUCCUGACACUGAGGCACGAAGGCCAGGGGAGCAAACAGG
rnacentral:rRNA from 1 species